rnacentral:rRNA from 1 species
CAAUAGCGUAUAUUAAAGUUGUUGCGGUUAAAAAGCUCGUAGUUGGAUUUCUGCUGAGAACGACCGGUCCGCCCUUUGGGUGUGUAUCUGGCUCUUUCUUGGCAUCUUCUUGGUGAACGUUGCUGCACUUGACUGUGUGGAGCGCUACCCAGGACUUUUACUUUGAGGAAAUUAGAGUGUUUCAAGCAGGCAUACGCCUUGAAUACAUUAGCAUGGAAUAAUAAGAUAGGACCUCGGUUCUAUUUUGUUGGUUUCUAGAGCUGAGGUAAUGAUUAAUAGGGAUAGUUGGGGGCAUUCGUAUUUAACUGUCAGAGGUGAAAUUCUCGGAUUUGUUAAAGACGGACUACUGCGAAAGCAUUUGCCAAGGAUGUUUNCAUUG